UAUUAGCCACCGGCUGCUAACUCUUCUCAGAAGACCGUGUUAGCGGAAGCAUUAUGGUGAGAGACAGCGGACUGCAGCGCCACCUGGCGGCAAGGCGGAGAUCACACGCCGGACUCUGUAGAGUCUGGAGCUUCCCUGCCUGUCUGUCUGCCUUGCGGAGCUGUUAUGCUCUGUUAAAUCGGCACAUAUUGUACUGGCUGAUGAAUGACAGAUGUUUUAUUCAUGGAGGAAAGAUAGUGUACAUUCUUUGAAGCACAUUCCAGGUUUCACGAAGAGGGUACAGGAUGGGGGCAGACGGUUUGAAAGGAAAGAAGACUGCCUGAAUUCACCAUUUCAGCCAUUCCUGCCUGCAGAUGAAAAGGUGAUUCUGACAGUCUGUUGAUGCUUCAGUCUCGUAUCUGGGCAAACCCAUCCCCAGCAAAUUAUGUCUUGAUCUGUGUCGCGAAGAAUGUUUCAGACCGCAUUCCUUACGCUCAGCUGGGACAUCUGACUGGUGCUCUGAUGAAGCAAACACUGGAAGAACAAAUACAGUGCAAUGCAUUUCUUACCCCUUGAACUUUUUCUUGCUUUGUUUUGCCACCUUACAACCACAAACUUCAAUGUGCUAUAUUGACCUUUCAACAGACAGACAAGCAGUAACUAGUGCAAAAUUUCAAGGAAACAAAUGCAUUUUUUUUUUUUUUUUUACAAAGAAAAGUAAUCUGAAUAGCUUGGACAGCAUUCAAUUUUAAGUCUUUUCACACAUUCUUAACUGGAUUAAUAUCUGGAUUUUGACUGGGCUAUUGUAAAACAUUGAUAUAUUUUGAACUAAACCAUUUCAUCGCA